UUAAGUUCAGCGGGUAUCCCUACCUGAUCCGAGGUCAAAAGUGAUAAAAGGCUUAGUGGACGCAAGUGAUAAAGGGAGCAAGACGCAAAAUGUGCUGCGCUUAAAACCAAUACACUGGCUGCCAAUUGCUUUAAGGCGAGUCCAACCGCAAUGGAGAGGACAAACACCCAACACCAAGCAGAGCUUGAAGGUACAAAUGA
rnacentral:misc_RNA from 1 species